ACAGCAAGCACAGCUUUCUGUGGGCCUUGCUGCGUGCCUGCAAAGCAAAUUUCUACAGCAGUUAUGUAGUUGAGUAAAUUUUUUUUAAUGAAAUGCUUAUGAGAUGUGAUUUAACAGUGCUGACAUUGAAAAAUAGCUCCUGUUCUUUCCCUUGUUUUAUGUAAGUGGGAGUUUUAAGGCAGAUAUGUUUUUGCAUGGUGUAGCCUUUUUUUUUUCUUUAUUGGUCAUUUCUUAACCAGGACUCAUGUGUCCCUAUCUCUUAAGAGGUCCAGAGUCUUGGAAAGUCCACAGUACUUUGAAAGCUUGAUGUUUCCUUACUGCCACCAAAGGAGUGUAGGAAAAAUCUGAAAUCCCCCAGAUUGGAAAAUAUCCUGUGAAUACACAUUUUUCUGACUGCUCCAUGUCAUCAGAUGUCUUUAUCUUCAGCUGCAGUUCUCUGAGAGAUACUGGGGUAUGCAGGAUGCAGAAGAAGGUCUUAGUUUCACUGCACAGUUUGACAGGCUGUAACCUCUUCCAAGAAGAUGCCUUUUGCUCAGAGUUUGCAUAUCACAUUAGGGUCACUGACCUGACUGAUGCCUCCAGGAUGAACUCAUCUCCUGGCAACGUCCUUUAGAGAAGGGGGACCUGAAUGAGUAGAAGCGAGAACCAGGAGGACUCUCCCAUCCCCCUGAAUUUCAGUCACUCCUGUCUCUCUGUCUUAAUGAUACAAAGAAAUUCUAAUUAAUAACUGUGUAACAUUUUGACAGCAAAAUAAGGGAUCUUUGUAAAGCUCUCCUGUGGUUCUGAACUCAUUUUCAUGCCAAAAUAUCUGUCUUUCAGAAAAGAAAGAUGCCAAGGAGCUUCAGCUCUGUUGUCUUGUCAGAUACCUUGCUCCUGCUCCGUGAGGGUGAUUUCAUAAGAAGUUUCAUCUUUGUUAUUUAUUUAUUUAUUUUACCUUAAUGAAGAUGAUUGUAUGACAAAGGGGAGGAAGAUAGUGGUGUGUGGGUAGAAAGGAAAAUGUAGGAAAUUGAGAAAAUGUCAGCUCUCUCAAUUUUUCACAUACACACAGAAAUUUUGCACUUCACAAACACUCCAUAAUUAUGGAGAGAUUUUGUAACAUAAAAAUAAACCCUUUAAUUAUAUGUAGUGCUGGCUGCAGAUAAUGAUGGGGAUUUAGCUGGGAAUGGAUUAAAGGGAUGUGAACAUAUUUUUCAUUCUGGCACUGGUGCUUUUUCCCCUCUAAACCAUUAGGAUGAAGUAGGAGGCACAAAUGGAGCAAAGAUCCCAUCAGUAUUCAUCUUCAAAUCUGGGCAGAGAACUCUCUCCCCUCCAAAUGUCCUUCUCAUGCAACUACUGCAGAGUGCAUGUGCAGCUUUGUUUGUAGCCAUUUAAUGCAAGUGUGUCAGAACAGGACAGCACUAUGCAUAGGACCAAAUGUUUGUUGUCACUUAAUAUCUGCUCCCAAUGUGAUGCUGCCAUUGCAGGUGGAAGAUCUGAAGAGGAAAAACAACAAAAGGCCUGUGAUGGCAAGAGUAAAUGCAGUGGAUAAUUGAUUCUGCUGAGCUUGCAGAAUAAUUUGUGGAGCAGAAAAAGGCACAAAUACAUUUUCCAGGACCCAGUGCAAGCUGGGACUGAUUCUCUCACUUCUAUUUUUACAUCAGGAUGACAUAGCUGAUUUCAAUUAAGCACAAGCUUAAUUCUGCAUUUAGUAACCAGGCUCAUUCAAACAUCCUCUUCACCUGGAAAUGUGCUGGAAACUGCUGAGAGCAGAGAGAAGAAGAACCUUUCUCACUGCUUCUGAAG